CAUGCCAAUCCACACUUAUGGCAUGCCGCGGGAAUAAAAAAGGAGGAAUCACCCAUCCGGGAGACUCCCGGUGCGGCAUUGUGGAGACAUGCCGUAAUGCGUCCGCCAAGCCCGGCGGUCGUGAGAAUGCGCCUUGCGGAGGCAGCGCAGUCAGAGUCGGAAUCACUAUGGCA
rnacentral:ncRNA from 1 species